AGUGAACGCUGGCGGCAGGCCUAACACAUGCAAGUCGAGCGGCAGCGCGGGGGCAACCCUGGCGGCGAGCGGCGGACGGGUGAGGAAUUCGUCGGAAUCUGCCUUUUUGUGGGGGAUAACGUAGGGAAACUUACGCUAAUACCGCAUACGGCCUACGGGAGAAAGUGGGGGACCGCAAGGCCUCACGCAGAAAGAUGAGCCGACGACCGAUUAGCUAGUUGGUGGGGUAAAGGACCACCAAGGCGACGAUCGGUAGCUGGUCUGAGAGGAUGAUCAGCCACACUGGGACUGAGACACGGCCCAGACUCCUACGGGAGGCAGCAGUGGGGAAUAUUGGACAAUGGGCGCAAGCCUGAUCCAGCCAUGCCGCGUGUGUGCAGAAGGCCUUCGGGUUGUAAAGCACUUUUGUCCGGAAAGAAAUCCCUGGAGCUAAUACCUUCGGGGGAUGACGGUACCGGAAGAAUAAGCACCGGCUAACUUCGUG
rnacentral:rRNA from 1 species